UGGUGGAGUGGUUUGUCUGGUCAAUUCCGAUAACGAACGAGACCUUAACCUGCUAAAUAGGUUAAUUGAUUGGUUCUCCAAUCUUUGAUAACUUCUUAGAGGGACUACCGUGGUUUACACGGGGGAAGUUUGAGGCAAUAACA
rnacentral:rRNA from 1 species